rnacentral:lncRNA from 1 species
AGGAACAUAACAUGUAUCAUCAACAGUAAUCAACACUGCCCCAGCAAGAGUCAUAAUAGGUAGGAGCAAUAAUAUUGUCCCCAGCAAGAGACGCAACAAGUAUGAGCAACGGUACUGGCACCAGCAAAUAGUCAACAACAAUAACAAUGACAAUACUUCCAUUAUCACAGAGACAACUUCUCUUCACUCCCCCUCUCCCCCUGAAGAGAAGGGGUCGUCGGAACCAUAAGAAAAGUGGCACUUAAGAAACAUAAGCUCACUGACGCUUAGAUGUAGAAGAAUCAGCCAUGGCAAAUAGGUAGCUGAAUUUUAGCGGAAUAGAUGAGCAGUGGUGUCACUCCCC